AACCCAGUCCCUCUGCAGCAGAUAUGGAGUAGAUCAACUCCCCCUUCCUCCUUAUACUUUGUGUUAUGCACUGUUGCAGUCUUUCAGCAGAAACUGCUCUCAGUCAUACUGUUCAGCUCUCCCUCGAGCAUGUUACAAAGAGAGUCUUACAUUCCUGUCUGGAUAGUUCACAAAACACAUUUUCCUGGACACAAACAUUUGUGACUCUACCUGUAAAGUGGAAUUUAUGGAUAUGGAAGUCUAAGUGCUUUGCUAAAACAAGGCCAUAAGGAGUCCAGGGAUCAAAGCCCAGAACACAGGAAAGCUUGUUGAAGACAUAGGCACACUCAGUGAAAACACAGAAGUUGGAGACAUUGAUUUGAGGACCAGUUGCUAAGAACAUCUCUAAAGAACCAGAUCUCUGACUGCCAAGAGGGAAGUACAGGGUGUAGCAUGGGAAAAAGUGUUUAAUUUAGAGUAAGUGGAAAACAUAGUUGCCUUGAAAAA